rnacentral:rRNA from 1 species
UACGGAGGGGGCUAGCGUUGUUCGGAAUUACUGGGCGUAAAGGGCUCGUAGGCGGUCUGUCACGUCGGGAGUGAAAACUCAGGGCUUAACCCCGAGCCUGCUUCCGAUACGGGCAGACUAGAGGUAUGCAGGGGAGAACGGAAUUCCUGGUGUAGCGGUGAAAUGCGCAGAUAUCAGGAGGAACACCGGUGGCGAAGGCGGUUCUCUGGGCAUUACCUGACGCUGAGGAGCGAAAGUGUGGGGAGCGAACAGG